rnacentral:piRNA from 1 species
AAUGGGUGCGAUUUUGAGUUUUGCGGUCAU